rnacentral:rRNA from 1 species
CGACCGUCCUACCUUCGGGUUUUGGACCGUGUUGAUCGAGGCAUUCUUCUAGAUUCUAUCUACUCUUAAUUGUUGUAGAAUUGAACUAGAACAUUUACUUUGAGGAAAUUAGAGUGUUUCAAGCAGGC